rnacentral:rRNA from 1 species
AACGAACGCUGGCGGCAGGCCUAACACAUGCAAGUCGAGCGGGGACUUCGGUCCUAGCGGCGGACGGGUGAGUAACGCGUGGGAACGUGCCCUUUGCUUCGGAAUAGCCCCUGGAAACGGGGAGUAAUACCGGAUGUGCCCUUUGGGGGAAAGAUUUAUCGGCAAAGGAUCGGCCCGCGUUGGAUUAGGUAGUUGGUGGGGUAAUGGCCUACCAAGCCGACGAUCCAUAGCUGGUUUGAGAGGAUGAUCAGCCACACUGGGACUGAGACACGGCCCAGACUCCUACGGGAGGCAGCAGUGGGGAAUCUUAGACAAUGGGCGCAAGCCUGAUCUAGCCAUGCCGCGUGAGCGAUGAAGGCCUUAGGGUUGUAAAGCUCUUUCAGAUGGGAAGAUAAUGACGGUACCAUCAGAAGAAGCCCCGGCUAACUCCGUGCCAGCAGCCGCGGUAAU